rnacentral:rRNA from 1 species
GCUAAUCUGCGAUAAGCGCCGGUAAGGUGAUAUGAACCGUUAUAACCGGCGAUACCCGAAUGGGGAAACCCAGUGUGACUCGUCACACUAUCAUUAACUGAAUCCAUAGGUUAAUGAGGCGAACCGGGGGAACUGAAACAUCUAAGUACCCCGAGGAAAAGAAAUCAACCGAGAUUCCCCCAGUAGCGGCGAGCGAACGGGGAGGAGCCCAGAGCCUGAAUCAGCAUGUGUGUUAGUGGAAGCGUCUGGAAAGGCGCGCGAUACAGGGUGACAGCCCCGUACACAAAAGCGCAUGUGCUGUGAGCUCGAUGAGUAGGGCGGGACACGUGGUAUCCUGUCUGAAUAUGGGGGGACCAUCCUCCAAGGCUAAAUACUCCUGACUGACCGAUAGUGAACCAGUACCGUGAGGGAAAGGCGAAAAGAACCCCGGCGAGGGGAGUGAAAAAGAACCUGAAACCGUGUACGUACAAGCAGUGGGAGCACAGGUUUACCUGUGUGACUGCGUACCUUUUGUAUAAUGGGUCAGCGACUUAUAUUCUGUAGCAAGGUUAACCGAAUAGGGGAGCCGGAGGGAAACCGAGUCUUAAUUGGGCGUUAAGUUGCAGGGUAUAGACCCGAAACCCGGUGAUCUAGCCAUGGGCAGGUUGAAGGUUGGGUAACACUAACUGGAGGACCGAACCGACUAAUGUUGAAAAAUUAGCGGAUGACCUGUGGCUGGGGGUGAAAGGCCAAUCAAACCGGGAGAUAGCUGGUUCUCCCCGAAAGCUAUUUAGGUAGCGCCUCGUGAAUUCAUCUCCGGGGGUAGAGCACUGUUUCGGCUAGGGGGCCAUCCCGGCUUACCAACCCGAUGCAAACUGCGAAUACCGGAGAAUGUUAUCACGGGAGACACACGGCGGGUGCUAACGUCCGUCGUGAAGAGGGAAACAACCCAGACCGCCAGCUAAGGUCCCAAAGUCAUGGUUAAGUGGGAAACGAUGUGGGAAGGCCCAGACAGCCAGGAUGUUGGCUUAGAAGCAGCCAUCAUUUAAAGAAAGCGUAAUAGCUCACUGGUCGAGUCGGCCUGCGCGGAAGAUGUAACGGGGCUAAACCAUGCACCGAAGCUGCGGCAGCGAACGUAUCACUUAAAGCGAUUCAGCGGGUUACGAUUGACGGAGCGAAGCGACGUCAAAGCGUAUACAAAGUCGAGUCGGUUUAAGGAUACGUUCGUUGGGUAGGGGAGCGUUCUGUAAGCCUGCGAAGGUGGCCUGUGAGGGUUGCUGGAGGUAUCAGAAGUGCGAAUGCUGACAUAAGUAACGAUAAAGCGGGUGAAAAGCCCGCUCGCCGGAAGACCAAGGGUUCCUGUCCAACGUUAAUCGGGGCAGGGUGAGUCGACCCCUAAGGCGAGGCCGAAAGGCGUAGUCGAUGGGAAACGGGUUAAUAUUCCCGUACUUGGUGUUACUGCGAAGGGGGGACGGAGAAGGCUAUGUUGGCCGGGCGACGGUUGUCCCGGUUUAAGCGUGUAGGUGUGUGUUCCAGGUAAAUCCGGUUCACUUUAACACUGAGGCGUGACGACGAGGCACUACGGUGCUGAAGCAACAAAUGCCCUGCUUCCAGGAAAAGCCUCUAAGCAUCAGGUAACAUCAAAUCGUACCCCAAACCGACACAGGUGGUCAGGUAGAGAAUACCAAGGCGCUUGAGAGAACUCGGGUGAAGGAACUAGGCAAAAUGGUGCCGUAACUUCGGGAGAAGGCACGCUGACACGUAGGUGAAGUGAUUUACUCAUGGAGCUGAAGUCAGUCGAAGAUACCAGCUGGCUGCAACUGUUUAUUAAAAACACAGCACUGUGCAAACACGAAAGUGGACGUAUACGGUGUGACGCCUGCCCGGUGCCGGAAGGUUAAUUGAUGGGGUCAGCGCAAGCGAAGCUCCUGAUCGAAGCCCCGGUAAACGGCGGCCGUAACUAUAACGGUCCUAAGGUAGCGAAAUUCCUUGUCGGGUAAGUUCCGACCUGCACGAAUGGCGUAAUGAUGGCCAGGCUGUCUCCACCCGAGACUCAGUGAAAUUGAACUCGCUGUGAAGAUGCAGUGUACCCGCGGCAAGACGGAAAGACCCCGUGAACCUUUACUAUAGCUUGACACUGAACAUUGAGCCUUGAUGUGUAGGAUAGGUGGGAGGCUUUGAAGUGUGGACGCCAGUCUGCAUGGAGCCGACCUUGAAAUACCACCCUUUAAUGUUUGAUGUUCUAACGUGGACCCGUAAUCCGGGUUGCGGACAGUGUCUGGUGGGUAGUUUGACUGGGGCGGUCUCCUCCUAAAGAGUAACGGAGGAGCACGAAGGUUGGCUAAUCCUGGUCGGACAUCAGGAGGUUAGUGCAAUGGCAUAAGCCAGCUUGACUGCGAGCGUGACGGCGCGAGCAGGUGCGAAAGCAGGUCAUAGUGAUCCGGUGGUUCUGAAUGGAAGGGCCAUCGCUCAACGGAUAAAAGGUACUCCGGGGAUAACAGGCUGAUACCGCCCAAGAGUUCAUAUCGACGGCGGUGUUUGGCACCUCGAUGUCGGCUCAUCACAUCCUGGGGCUGAAGUAGGUCCCAAGGGUAUGGCUGUUCGCCAUUUAAAGUGGUACGCGAGCUGGGUUUAGAACGUCGUGAGACAGUUCGGUCCCUAUCUGCCGUGGGCGCUGGAGAACUGAGGGGGGCUGCUCCUAGUACGAGAGGACCGGAGUGGACGCAUCACUGGUGUUCGGGUUGUCAUGCCAAUGGCACUGCCCGGUAGCUAAAUGCGGAAGAGAUAAGUGCUGAAAGCAUCUAAGCACGAAACUUGCCCCGAGAUGAGUUCUCCCUGAGACUUUAGGUCUCCUGAAGGAACGUUGAAGACGACGACGUUGAUAGGCCGGGUGUGUAAGCGCAGCGAUGCGUUGAGCUAACCGGUACUAA